AUUCUGGGGCCCCACAUCCCAAGACCAUCCAAAAGCAACAUCUCCAGAAGGUGCAGGAAGCCAACGCAGCCAUGCUGAGGGGAAAGGGAGAGUUUCCAAGCUGAGCCAUGCUGAAACCCGCAAUGACAGAAACCCACUUACCCCCUUGAUGAGCCCAGUUCGAAUCUCAGGCCCCUUGGUAUCCAGGGCAACAGCAACAGGUCUGUAGGAAAUCGGAUCAGAAGCAAAGCUUUCGGUAGCUUCUCGUACA